rnacentral:lncRNA from 1 species
CAGGCUCUGCCCUGCCUGCCUUUCUGUGAAUUAGAUCUGCUUGCUUCUCUCAUUAACAGUGGAGUAUGUGUGUGCAAUAUCAGAAUGAGGAAUGGAAAAUUAUUAUUUCCAGAGGUCUCCAAUACUUCUGGAAAGUAAGCAAGACUGAAAUAGAGUCAUUGACAUUUGACUUCGAAUUACUGAACAGACAGCGUUAAGGCACCUAAGAAUGCUCACAA